UUUCCGUAGGUGAACCUGCGGAAGGAUCAUUGUCGAAACCUGCCCAGCAGAACGACCCGCGAACUUGUAUCAACAACCGGGGGCGGGGGGUGUUCUCGCCCCGUGCCCCCGAACGGCGGGGGGACACUCGUGCCUUCUUUCCGAACAACGAAACCCGGGGCGUUCUGCCCCAAUGAACUUUAACUGAAGAGUGCCUCCGGUCGCCUCGGAAACGGCGUGCGUGCCGGGGGUGAAUCUUGUGCAAAACCAUAACGACUCUCGGCAACGGAUAUCUCGGCUCUC
rnacentral:misc_RNA from 1 species